UCCUACGGGAGGCAGCAGUGGGGAAUAUUGCACAAUGGGGGGAACCCUGAUGCAGCGACGCCGCGUGAGUGAAGAAGUAUUUCGGUAUGUAAAGCUCUAUCCGCAGGGAAGAAGAUGACGGUACCUGACUAAGAAGCCCCGGCUAACUACGUGCCAGCAGCCGCGGUAAUACGUAGGGGGCAAGCGUUAUCCGGAUUUACUGGGUGUAAAGGGAGCGUAGACGGCAGGGCAAGUCUGGAGUGAAAGCCCGGGGCCC
rnacentral:rRNA from 1 species